AUUGAACGCUGGCGGAAUGCUUUACACAUGCAAGUCGAACGGUAGAGGGGGCAACCCCUCGAGAGUGGCGAACGGGUGAGUAAUAUAUCGGAACGUGCCCAGUCGUGGGGGAUAACGUAGCGAAAGUUACGCUAAUACCGCAUACGAUCUAAGGAUGAAAGCGGGGGAUCGCAAGACCUCGCGCGAUUGGAGCGGCCGAUAUCAGAUUAGGUAGUUGGUGGGGUAAAGGCUCACCAAGCCAACGAUCUGUAGCUGGUCUGAGAGGACGACCAGCCACGCUGGAACUGAGACACGGGCCAGACUCCUACGGGAGGCAGCAGUGGGGAAUUUUGGACAAUGGACGCAAGUCUGAUCCAGCCAUUCCGCGUGCAGGAUGAAGGCCCUCGGGUUGUAAACUGCUUUUGUACGGAACGAAAAGGUCUCUCUUAAUACGGGGGACUCAUGACGGUACCGUAAGAAUAAGCACCGGCUAACUACGUGCCAGCAGCCGCCGCGGUAA
rnacentral:rRNA from 1 species